AAUCUGGGAGGUAGUGACAAAUUAUAACGAUACGGGACUCAUCCGAGGCCCCGUAAUCGGAAUGAGAACACCCUAAAUCCUAUAACGAGGAUCCAUUGGAGGGAAAGUCUGGUGCCAGCAGCCGCGGUAAUUCCAGCUCCAAUAGCGUAUAUUAAAGUUGUUGCGGUUAAAAAGCUCGUAGUUGGUUCUGCGUGCCACGCUGUCGGUUCACCGCCUGCCGGUGCAACUGGCAUGCCGUGGCAUGUCCUGUCGGUGGCUGAUAGGCUUCACGGCGUGCACCAUGCAGUUCAUGCUGUGUGGGUUGUUGCGCCGAGUUGUCCUUGUAAGCCGGCUCAAUCCUACCGCGGUGCUCUUUACCGAGUGUCGAGGUAGGCCGACACUGUUUACUUUGAACAAAUUAGAGUGCUUAAAGCAGGCUCUUAAAUCAGCCUGAAUAGUGGUGCAUGGAAUAAUGGAACAGGACCUUGGUUCUAUUUUGUUGGUUUUAGGAAUCCAAGGUAAUGAUCAAUAAGGACAGGCGGGGGCAUUCGUAUUGCGACGUUAGAGGUGAAAUUCUUGGAUCGUCGCAAGACGCACUAGAGCGAAAGCAUUUGCCAAGUAUGUCCUAAUUGAUCAAGAACGAAAGUUAGAGGUUCGAAGGCGAUCAGAUACCGCCCUAGUUCUAACA
rnacentral:rRNA from 1 species